UACGAGGUAGCCGAGUGGUUAAGGCGAUGGAUCUCCGAUCCAUUGGGUCGUCUGCGUGGGUUCGAAUCCCAUCCUUGUCG